CCUACGGGAGGCAGCAGUGAGGAAUAUUGGUCAAUGGGCGCGAGCCUGAACCAGCCAAGUAGCGUGAAGGAUGACUGCCCUACGGGUUGUAAACUUCUUUUAUAAAGGAAUAAAGUGAGGCACGUGUGCCUUUUUGUAUGUACUUUAUGAAUAAGGAUCGGCUAACUCCGUGCCAGCAGCCGCGGUAAUACGGAGGGGGCAAGCGUUAUCCGGAUUUAUUGGGUGUAAAGGGGGCGCAGACGGGGUGUUAAGUCAGGUGUGAAAGUCGGCGGCUCAACCGCGAAACUGCUAUUGGAACUGGGUGGCUUGAGUGCAGUAGAGGUAGGCGGAAUUCCUGGUGUAGCGGUGAAAUGCGUAGAUAUCACGAAGAACUCCGAUGGCGAAGGCAGCCUGCUAGACUGCCACUGACGUUGAGGCCCGAAAGCGUGGGGAGCAAACAGGAUUAGAUACCCGAGUAGUC
rnacentral:rRNA from 1 species